rfam:Sarcophilus harrisii ctg7180001775164, whole genome shotgun sequence.
AUUAAGAUGGCAGAGCCGGUAAUUGCAUAAAGCUUAAGCCUUUACUCCCAGAGGUUCAAACCCUCUUCUUAAUA